rnacentral:misc_RNA from 1 species
CAAUUAAAGUGAUUCUUUAUACUUUUUUAAAAAAAAACAAUCCAUACGUACCUUGUGUGCAAUGUAUGAAAAAGAAGAGUUUUUUCUCUACUUUUUUUAUAUCACCAACUCUUUGCUUUGAAACCAGUUUGUCUGAAAUAAAAAUAUUCUUUGAAUAACUUCAUUCAAAAAUA